UACGUAGGGUGCGAGCGUUAAUCGGAAUUACUGGGCGUAAAGCGUGCGUAGGCGGUUCGUUAAGUCAGCUGUGAAAGCCCCGGGCUCAACCUGGGAAUUGCGGUUGAAACUGGCGAACUAGAAUCUGGCAGAGGGGGGUAGAAUUUCCUGUGUAGCGGUGAAAUGCGUAGAUAUAGGAAGGAAUACCAGUGGCGAAGGCGGCCUCCUGGAUCGAUACUGACGCUGAGGCGCGAAAGCGUGGGGAGCAAACAGG
rnacentral:rRNA from 1 species